GACCUGUGCGGUGUCAAGAGUUGGACUUGAUGAUCCUUAAGGGUCCCUUCCAACUCAGGAUAUUCUAUGAUUCUAUGAUUCUAUGAAUUUACGCUGACAUACUUCUCAAUUUUUAUGUUUUUCCACCUGUAGAUUGCAUCUCACUGUAGGUUGCAUUUUAGUCUCCUAAUUUAUUCCCUGGUUUUUAUUUUUAUUUUUGUACCACCUCAUUAGUGAAUGUAGAAGAAAAUGCAUACUAGCUGGGCUGCAUCCGGAAGUGCAAACCAAAGUGCUAUAGAUAGCAUGAAUGUAGGAAAAACACACUUUAUUGUCUUAAUGAAGAAAAAUAAGCUUUAAACUGACUUUAAAUAUGUCAUAAGACUUCAUGGUAUUAGAAAACAUGCUAAAACAGGCUGAAAAAACUAUUAUGAAUCUCUCGUUUUCCAAUACAUUCUUAGACCAAAUCCUUUGAGAUUCAGAGCUAUUGUCCUCACUUUAAUGUGACCUUCUUUAAUGCAACCUUAUAAUACCUUGAAUAUACAUCUCUAUGAGCCUGUGAUAAUAUUAAACAAUCAUAAAGUCAAUUGUUUUAUAACUAUUACAUUAUGAAUUCUUCGUGGUACACUGAAAAUUUGUUCAUUGAUCUUUUGCUUAAUUCUACAGAUACUUUUCUUACUACAGCCUGCAUACAGAAUGUUCUUUAAAUGAGCACAGAAUGUGCUUCAGAAUGAAAGAUUCUCAGUGAAAGCUAGUAGUUAAAAUUAAUAUCCACUUGAUGUGAAAAUGGAACAAACAUCAGAAGGACCAAGCAUUUUGCUUGGCUAAAGAAACUGCAGUUCUCAAGAGGAGGAAUUUAUCUACGUUGGGAAUUUGUUAAUAGAUAAUUGAU